AGCGUGCUCCGGGCGUCGGC
rnacentral:snRNA from 1 species